UUCACUUUUCCAUAUAUAGGAGGAACUCACAGACUGACAGCUCAAACUAGGUAGAAGUACAAUCCUCAGACCCAUGCAAACUCAGUGUGCAUGCACACACAGAGAACUCAAAUUCAGAAUUUUGUAGAAAGCUGUAAUUGAAAGAACUGGGAGCCCUGCUGAUAAAGAAGCUUAUUCUUCUGGCCUAAAAAGGGGAAGGCACUAAAGGCAGAAGUCCUGAAGUACUAUUUUGAAUAACCCAUCAGGAAAAGCAUCAAAAUCAUGAAUGGGCCAGUAGAUGGCUUAUGUGACCACACUCUGGAUGAUGAAUGGGAAUUCAUGUUUACUUCUGAAUCAGUAGGAGAAGGGCAUCCAGAUAAGAUCUGUGAUCAGAUCAGCGAUGCUGUGCUAGAUGCCCAUCUCAAAGAAGAUCCAAAUGCCAAGGUUGCUUGUGAGACAGUAUGUAAGACAGGAAUGGUGCUGCUGUGUGGGGAGAUCACAUCUCUUGCUGUAGUGGAUUAUCAGCGAGUAGUGCGAGAUGCAAUUAGGCACAUCGGCUAUGAUGAUUCAGCUAAAGGCUUUGACUACAAAACUUGUAAUGUUCUGGUGGCAUUGGAACAACAGUCACCUGAUAUUGCCCAGGGUGUUCAUCUACACAGGAAUGAAGAAGAUGUUGGUGCUGGAGAUCAGGGUUUGAUGUUUGGUUAUGCAACAGAUGAGACAGAGGAAUGUAUGCCUCUAACAAUUAUCCUUGCUCACAAACUGAAUGCCAAGUUAGCAGAGAUGAGGCGCAGUGGUGAACUCCCUUGGCUGAGACCUGACUCUAAAACACAGGUCACUGUUCAGUAUGUCCAGGAAAAAGGAGCCGUGAUCCCAGUCCGUGUUCACACCAUUGUGAUAUCUGUGCAGCACGAUGAAGGCAUUUCACUGGAGACUAUGCAGAAAGCUCUGAAGGACCGUGUGAUUUUAGCUGUAGUUCCUGCCAAAUACUUGGAUGAGAAAACUAUUUAUCACCUUCAGCCCAGUGGACGUUUUGUUAUUGGAGGGCCACAGGGUGAUGCUGGCGUUACUGGUCGAAAGAUCAUUGUGGACACAUAUGGUGGAUGGGGAGCUCAUGGAGGUGGUGCCUUUUCAGGCAAGGACUAUACAAAAGUUGACCGAUCGGCAGCAUAUGCAGCUCGCUGGGUGGCUAAAUCAUUGGUGAAAGCUGGUCUAUGUCGUCGCGUUCUAGUUCAAGUUUCUUAUGCCAUUGGAGUGGCUGAGCCACUCUCUAUUUCACUGUUCACUUAUGGAACCUCUCAGAAAACAGAGCGAGAGCUGUUAGGUAUUGUUCACAAGAACUUUGAUCUUCGACCUGGAGUCAUUGUAAGGGAUUUGGAUUUAAAGAAGCCCAUUUAUCAGAAGACUGCCUGUUAUGGUCACUUUGGAAGAAAUGAAUUUCCAUGGGAGAUACCUAAAAAACUUGCAUAUUGACAGUAAUGCUUCUACCUCCAAUGCAGAAGGGAAGAAGAUUGUGCUAGUCAAGAUGCUUCCAGAAAUGAGUAUUGACUACUUUUAUACAAUGGCAAUUUUCUAGCUUUAAAAUUUCAGAUUUUCAGUGGACAGAAGGAAAAGGUUAUUUUCAUGGGAUUGAUUUUUACCCUAAAUGUUUUAUCCAGGUUCAUUAUCAAAGGCAUCAAAGGCACUAUUCAUUUAUAUCACCAUAUGCCACCAAAAAUUAUGUUUUGUUUUUUAACUGCUGCUCUGUUGAUUGGACUGAUGAAAGCCAAAAUAUCAUUAGGACACACCAACCUACCUUUACGCCUCAAAUCUAUCACAGUGUGUUCUUACAUGCAAAGGAAAAGCUGUUCCUUGCAACUUUGCAUAUGGAGAUGUAAGUCUGCUGACAUUCAUGAUUCCACAGUGGAGAGUCCUGGGGUACAGUUUCCUUAUUGGCGCUGCUUUCACAAACAGUGGAGCUCCACAACAUGACCUAACAGUCAAGAAGUCAGUGAGGAUCUUUCCACUCUCUUCACUGAGGAUUGGAUCAAGGAAAUAUUGGAAACAUCACUGGGAAAGGAAGGAAGCUUGCAGAGGAGAAUCUGAAAGAUCUCCAUAUAGCUGAAAGCAUUGGUUAUCACAGUGUUACAGGAAAACACUGGCGAUCUUGGAAAUGUAACAUGAUUUCAUCAUCAUAAAUUUAGGCUGCUAUAGAGGAAAUAGCAGCAACUGUUCUGGCCAAGAGAAACCCAUUUAAUGUAAAAAUGAGAAUUUAUGAUGAUUUUAUGUUGUUGACAUAAAAAACCCUGAGCCAAGAAAGUCCUUUUACCUUUGUAUUUUGCAUGAUAAGAAUUGUAAGCAUGUUUGUGAGAAAAUAUUACUUUGUAAUGUAAGUUGCAUUUAGUAAUUUGCUUCAUGAUACAUUUGUUCUUCUGAAUACAAUAGCCCCUUUUCUUUUAAAUGUGGAUUCAAAAAUAUGCUAAGACCCUGUCUGACUGGGAAGCUUACCUAUUGCUGUGACUGGUUGACAUCAACGGAUCCUACCAGAAAUAAUAAGAAAAGUUGUUUUAAGUUAGGGCAUGGAUGGACAUUUGAAAUAAUCCAAAUCCCUUCAAAUCUGGUGUGCUUCAGUGCUGAGCAGAGAUGUGAUCCUGCUACCAGGGUGUUUCAAAAUGACUGCAAAAAUAUGCAGCAGCAUGUCUCUCUCUAGCAAGGGGGAGGUGCAUAGGAGUGUGCUUGUUGGCUGACUGUCUCACUCUCCUCCCAGCCCUCCUCCAAUGCAAGGGUAGAGAGCAGAGCAUUGUGGGAUGCUGGUGGACCACUAGAGGUUGGAGUUGCUUUAGGAAGUACUUCAAAUAUGUGCCUGUUUUCUCAAGGGUCGUUUUUGAAGUUCUUCUUUGGUUGUGAAUGUCUGUACCCUCACUAUUUGGAACACUUCAAAGACAUCUGGAGAGCUUCCACCCGCACAUCUGUCUAAGGUUUUAAUAUAGAUAAAAUGGAUGCAGUGGCAGACAGUUGACGUAUCUUGCUGUGGCUCCAGAGGCAUAUGUGCAAGGCAUUCUCUGGAUUUAUAUCAAAGGUUCUCUUGGGCUUUGGGCCUGAAGUCUGGAUGUGGUGUGAAGUUACAUCAUUCAUGUCCACUGCUGGCUAUAGAAACCAUUGUACUUUAAUCAUAUUGUAUCUAUGAGUUGCUGGGCUUACAAGGACAUUUGCCAUUAACAUUUUGGUAGGCAGGACAAAUGAGUUUUCAGUCCAGUUCCAGACUGUGAUUAAGUCUCAGGUUCCCUGUCUGUAUAUGGAACUCAAGUACUUUACAAUAGCAGUUACUUUUUGUCAAAAUUAUUAAGUGUGGGAUGGGAAUAAAUAACUGUGAGAAGAAUGUUUCAUGUACUUUCUGUUUAGUUGCCUCCUUUAAAUAUGCCUCCUUUAAAUCUGACUGGUUUGGUGCUUAGCAUUCAGAAUGGAUUCUCAGUCCCAGACUAUGAGAUCUUUUGUGAGUCAGAUGUGUGUUAGUUUCCUUGUAUGUACAGUGGGCUAAUAAUAACAACAUCAAUACUAGUAAUAUCUACCUACCUCACAGGCGUGUUGUGAGGCUUGAUUUAACUGUGAAAUUGACUGAGAUCCACGGGUUAAAGGUGCUGUAGGCAUGCAGUUAUUAAUGUUGCAGAUAAUUUUCCUUGUGCUCAGUAAACAGUUCUGAAGAUGA